rnacentral:rRNA from 1 species
UACGGGGGGGGCAAGCGUUGUUCGGAAUUACUGGGCGUAAAGGGCUCGUAGGCGGUUUGUCGCGUCUGCUGUGAAAACUCGGGGCUUAACCCCGGGCCUGCAGUGGGUACGGGCAGACUAGAGUGCGGUAGGGGAGACUGGAAUUCCUGGUGUAGCGGUGAAAUGCGCAGAUAUCAGGAGGAACACCGGUGGCGAAGGCGGAUCUCUGGGCCGUAACUGACGCUAAGGCGCGAAAGCGUGGGGAGCGAACAGG